UGUCAACAUUUGACAUAACGAACCUACACACUUUUCACUGAUUUUUUAAUCUUCCUUAGUUUGCAGGACUCAGAGAGCUAAGGAUAACUGUGAGUGACCUUCAUGACAGCCAUCAUACAAAUGAUUUUUCGCUCCUUCUAACAAUUCGUAGAAUAUCUUUGAAUGGUUGCAUAUCGGAUCUACUACAUUUUCAUAACUACCAUCUUACUGAUAGUUAUGAUAACUCACAUUAUCACCAAAUGCAUCAUUCAUCAUUUCUACAUAUCUACUCUACAAUAUCACUUAAAUGUGUCAGAUCAACAUAACUCGUUCCUAAUGCCAUGUCGACCUCUAUCCAUGUUUGCACCAAACAUAAUAGUCUUGCAUAAAUCUUUUAAUAUAUAUAUGUUUCAAAAUUCAUUACCCCGAGAAAAAUUUAUCGUUUUUGCAAACACUGCAAGGAAAAAAGAACUGACUAUUUUCUCUGCGCUAAAGGCUGACUAUUUGCAAACGUCAUAAAUUGCUCUACCCCUGCUUUUAACUCUCCCGAGAAGUUUCUCGUUUCUUCACGAUCCUCUUGUACAUCCAAUCUCGGAAAUUAGUAUAGUUUGUAAUUUCCCGCCAUUAUAUCAGGUCACAAUUUUUUUUUUCUUUUUUGUUCUUCCACGACUGAUGACGAUAUAAGAAAGGUGACAAUUUCUUCUAUAUAUAAAAUAUUUACCGAUGGUUUUUCUACUUAUUUACGACUGAUUUUAAGACUAAUAUAAUCAGUCGUAAAAACCGGUAUACCAACUUAAGAACGACUUGUACGUGUUUUGUACCCGUAUUCUGCGACUUCGAAGCAACGAUUUCACUAUUGAUUUUGCGACUAAUAUAAUUAUUAGUAAAAAAACAGGUACACCAACAUUAGAGUGAUUUCCACGUGUUUUAUACCUUGUUCGGAAACUCGCUAGGCGCUACGCGUGCGGCACACACGGGCCUAGCAAUUUAUUGGAAAAGCAGGAAAAAAUCGGAGAGUACGCGGGGCGAAAAUUUUUGUACUUUUAUAUGUAAAAUAUCACAUUUUAAACAUAUAAUACAAAAAUUUAUAUAAUAAAUAUUUAUUAAAGUCAUACAUUUUAUACAUAUAAUACACAAUUUAUACGUAAAAUACAAAAAAAAUGUAUAAUACGUGUUUAUGAAGAAUACAUUAGUACUAAAAGUUAUAGAUUUAUAAAUAAUACCAAUUAGAUCACAGAAUAUAAUUGUACUUCUUUUAGUUCACAUCCAUUACAAAUAGUUUAAUAUAUUUUAACUAUAUUUAUCUCUAAAUUAUCAAAAUUAAAAUAAUUUUACAAUAAUUUAUAUAAUAUAAUUUUUAAUAUAAAAUAAUACAUGCAAAACAUAAUAAUUAAGUGUAUGAAAAAAUAUAAUUAGAAUUAAUUGUAUAAUUGGGGCUUAUGGUUGAUUGGGCUUGUGAGAAAUAAAGAAAUAAAUAAAAUAAAAAUGUUGGAGCACGUGGUUUUCUUUUUCGUUUGCUAAUCAUCCAACCCAGCCAUCGAAAAGGUCUGAAAUCACCAUCGUUUACACGCCGGGUUCUCCACUUCCACGGUCCAGACGGACACAAAUCGGACCACUGCGUAACAUCACCGAUAUGCAUGAACUCGCCACGCUCCAUCUCUGAUUACCGUUUUCUCGGCCGUGUAAUCGGUGAUGCGGCCGAGUUUUAGAACAAGGGUUUUAUAUCCGUUUGUUGCGACUACAAAUAACCUGUUUUACCACCAAAUCAUACGGUCGUUAAACGGUCGCUAAAUUUGCGACUGAUAAUUGACCCGUUUACUGACCUCAAAUAAGUACCAAAUAGUCGUAAAUUCGAGACCAAUUUGCAACGUUUUUUCGUAGUCGCAAAUUAGCUACUAAAUAGCGACUUAUUUUGUGUCGUAAAUCAGUCGCUAAUCCGUCGGUAAACAGUCGCCACUUUUAGCGACUGCGUUAGUAGUUGCCAAAAUCAGUCGGAAAAUACAUGUUUUGUUGUAGUGGAAAACACCAAUUGAUACUUAUAAUUUAUAUAUACAAAAUACUUAAAUCAGGAUAAAAUUUAAUAUUUUAAUUUUAGAAUUGACCUAAUUAUAUAUUCACUGUACACGCCAAACUAUAAUAAGAAAAUUUAAUAUCAUUUACGUUUUGUGAGCAAAACGGAAGAAUAUCUUAAUUUUAAUGAAUGUAAUCGCAAAUGAAUAAUUAUAAAUGCUAAGUUCUAAUUAUGAAAAGAAAGAAAUCAAAUCAUGAAUUUUGUUGUGUGUAAAAUGUACUUUUAUCACUUUAACAUAUGUCACUUUUAUCAACAUAUAUUUUUUAUCAACUUUACAUAUCUCGGUUUAAUCAACUUAAGAUAUAUUACUUUUUAGUAAAAAAAAGUAUUUUAAAAUGAUAUUAUCCAUGAACUAAAUUGUCAAUUCCAAGCGUACUCCAGAAAUACAUUAUAUAAGCAUUUGAGCAACGAUGUAUAUAUUAUUCAAAUUUUAUCAAAACAUAUUUACAAGCCGUAAACCAUUCCUCAUAUCACAAAACUUUCAGGCAAAAAAGAAAAACAUGGCGGAAUCAAAAAAAAUCUUCAUCGUUUUUAUUAUUUGUCUCUUAUGCACAUUGUUGGUGAGCGUCUCUGGAAUACAGGCCAAUCCAUCAUGCACGACAUCGAUAGAAUGUGAGUUGGUGUGUUUUAGAAGAACAGGGGGAAGAGAUGGUGUAUGUGAGGGUGGAAUGUGCGCUUGUCUGUCCCCAAAACCCAAGACGGAGCUGACCAAGACCAUACUGUGCAAGAAGGACCGUGACUGUCCCAGUUCUAGUGAAUGCCCUAAAGACUUCUAUUACUCUUGUCUUCAUGGAGAAUGUACUUGCAUUGCAGUAUAAAUCGAUUAAAAUAUAUCUAAUAUAUAUAUACUGCUUAUCUUUUUUU